AUUGAACGCUGGCGGCAGGCCUAACACAUGCACGUCGAGCGGAGAGGCGGACGGGUGCGAAAUGCCUAGGCAUCUGCCUGGUAGUGGGGGAUAACGUCCGGAAACGGGCGCUAAUACAGCAUACUAUAAGAUAAGCCUAGGUGGGAUUGGCUAGAUGGAGGGGUAAAGGCCUACCAAGGCGACGAUCCGUAACUGGUCUGAGAGGAUGAUCAGUCACACUGGAACUGAGACACGGUCCAGACUCCUACGGGAGGCAGCAGUGGGGAAUAUUGGACAAUGGGCGAAAGCCUGAUCCAGCCCUGCCGCGUGUUUGAAGAAGGUCUUCGGAUUGUAAAGCACUUUAAGUUGGGAGGCGUUACCAACAGAAUAAGCAACGGCUAACUUCGUGCCAGCAGCCGCGGUAAUAC
rnacentral:rRNA from 1 species